rnacentral:snRNA from 2 species
UUGCUUUGGUAGCACAUGUACUAUAAUUGGAAUGAUACAGAGAAGAUUAGCAUGGCCUCUGUGAAAGGAUGACAUGCAAAUUUGUGAAGCAUAUUUUUUU